UACAGAGGUCCCAAGCGUUGUUCGGAUUCACUGGGCGUAAAGGGUGCGUAGGCGGCCGGGUAAGUCUGAUGUGAAAUCUCACAGCUUAACUGUGAAACUGCAUUGGAUACUAUCCGGCUAGAGGAAUGGAGGGGAGACUGGAAUACUUGGUGUAGCAGUGAAAUGCGUAGAUAUCGAGAGGAACACCAGUGGCGAAGGCGAGUCCCUGGACAACUCCUGACACUGAGGCACGAAAGCUAGGGGGAGCAAACAGG
rnacentral:rRNA from 1 species